rnacentral:rRNA from 1 species
CCUACGGGUGGCAGCAGUGAGGAAUAUUGGUCAAUGGACGCAAGUCUGAACCAGCCAUGCCGCGUGCAGGAAGACGGCUCUAUGAGUUGUAAACUGCUUUUGUACGAGGGUAAACGCAGAUACGCGUAUCUGUCUGAAAGUACCGUACGAAUAAGGAUCGGCUAACUCCGUGCCAGCAGCCGCGGUAAUACGGAGGAUUCAAGCGUUAUCCGGAUUUAUUGGGUUUAAAGGGUGCGUAGGCGGUCUGAUAAGUUAGAGGUGAAAGCCCGAGGCUCAACUUCGGAAUUGCCUCUGAUACUGUCCGGCUAGAGAGUAGUAGAGGUAGGCGGAAUGUAUGGUGUAGCGGUGAAAUGCUUAGAGAUCAUGCAGAACACCGAUUGCGAAGGCAGCUUACCAAGCUACUUCUGACGUUGAGGCACGAAAGCGUGGGGAGCAAACAGGAUUAGAUACCCCGGUAGUC